GACGAACGCUGGCGGCGUGCCUAAUACAUGCAAGUUGAGCGCUGAAGGUUGGUACUUGUACCCACUGGAUGAGCAGCGAACGGGUGAGUAACGCGUGGGGAAUCUGCCUUUGAGCGGGGGACAACAUUUGGAAACGAAUGCUAAUACCGCAUAAAAACUUUAAACACAAGUUUUAAGUUUGAAAGAUGCAAUUGCAUCACUCAAAGAUGAUCCCGCGUUGUAUUAGCUAGUUGGUGAGGUAAAGGCUCACCAAGGCGAUGAUACAUAGCCGACCUGAGAGGGUGAGCGGCCACAUUGGGACUGAGACACGGCCCAAACUCCUACGGGAGGCAGCAGUAGGGAAUCUUCGGCAAUGGACGAAAGUCUGAACGAGCAACGCCGCGUGAGUGAAGAAGGUUUUCGGAUCGUAAAGCUCUGUUGGUAGAGAAGAACGUUGGUGAGAGUGGAAAGCUCAUCAAGUGACGGUAACUACCCAGAAAGGGACGGCUAACUACGUG
rnacentral:rRNA from 1 species